rnacentral:lncRNA from 1 species
CAGUUAUAAUUCUGCAGAGUGUGGCCACUGCUUCUCCCAUCCUCCUUUCCCAAGGACGGUGGGGAUUGCUAUAGGGCUGGUAGGUAGUUUACCGUCCCUUCUAUAGGCAUAGAUUUGGCACUGACAUCACAGCUUCAUAACCCCCACCACGGCCAGCUUCCCCUGCCUGUUAUCCUAGAUCCAGUCUGUUCUUGUUCAUUGAGAAUCCUGUGUUCCCACUUCAGUGACACCUGAAUUUUUUUUUAAUUGUCUUCAAGGAGGCCUCAUCUGGUUGUGUACCUAGUCAAAUCCCCAUGAUAUCUCAGUAGAAGAAAGAAGGAGGAUCUUAAAACUUCAGGGAAGAAAUAAUUUCUUCAACGAAGACGAUAUAAGGUUGACACCAGAACUCUCAUGAGAAAACUGUAAACCAGAAGACAAUAACUUAACAACUUAUCCGUAAUUAUUUCUAAUCUAGAUUUCUAUACUCAGAAACUUUGUAAAGCUGUCUUUAGCUAAAUGAGAUAAAGAACUUGUAUCUCCGUCAAUCUAUUAUCUUAGGAAGUUACUUGAAGAAGUUUUCCAUCAAACUGAAAUAGAAAACCAAGAGAACAGAAGACAUGGGCUCCAGAAAACAGUAGCUCCAAUGUGAAAGAUCAAUACAGUUCACUAUCAGGAUGCAAUCAGCUCAUCCAGCCAAAAAAUCAAACAGACCAUAUUUAGUGCAGGAAAUUCAGAAACACCUGGAGGGGAAUUUCAAGAAAAAACAAAGGAAAGCAUGUAAUGAAUUGGAUUGGAUAAUAUAUGGAGAUGUUGGAAAUAAUAAUAUAUUAAAGGCUAUAAAUACAAGAAAAUCAAUUAAACAAUGAUAAUGGAAUCAUGAGGUGGAAAAGGAAAGGCUGCAAUACCUGAACUUAAAAGUAGCAAUUUAAUAUGAAGCAAAGGGAAGAUUACAUGGUAGUGAGCAACUAAUGUAGUGUAACUAGAGAAUCUAUUUGACCUGGGUAUCAGAAACAUUUCCCUUAAGGGGCUAAAGAGUAUUAACUCUACAAAGUGCACAUGACCCUAAAACACUAAGUAAUCUGUCAUUGAAAAAUAAAGUGUACAUUUAUUUGUAUUCACUUUAGAGUUAACCAGUGACUAAAGCAUAGGAACAUUGGUUGGGGCCAAAAGGGAAAAGUGUGAAUUCUGACAGCUUUAAUCAUAAUUUUAAAAAUGAUUCAAUAACUAAUAGAAAGUAGAAUAUAAAAGGCUGAGUGUGAUAAAGAAGGUGAGUGCAAGGGUAGUGGAAGUUAUAUUUCUGUUACAAAAUGGGAAAUUAGACAUAUUUUCAGACAGUCAAAUUAUUAAAAAUACAAAGCAAUCCAACAGUAAAACAGAAAUUCAAAUUCAGAGGAGAAAAGAUAGGUGUAGUUAGCUUCAGUAAUGUAAAUCCUCAUCUUUCAUAUUGAGAAUUAAACAGCAAUGGUCUUAAGUUGGUCAUUAAAAUGGUGUUGUAAACCUACUGUGUAGCAUUAUGGAGAUAUUCCCGUAAAUAAUAAAAUACAAAUUUGAGAAAUAUUAUUACAUUUACAAAGGUGUUAUACUAUUCUAAUAUGUACAAGAGUAAAAAUAAGAUUGGCAGCUGCGGGGAGAUGCGUGCAAAAGAGCAUCAGUGAGAGCUGGCCGGUGUUCUUGAUCUGAUAAGGAUAUGCAGCCCAUCACCCCCGAAGUAUUUCACUCCUUGGUAACCUGCCUAUUGGAUUGCAACUUCUUCAUCUGGUUUUUGUCAGCAGGCAUAUUAGUGUGAAGAUACGUCCAGAGAAACUCUAUAGUCAUUGAUAUAGGAGGGAAAACCACAGCUAAUUAAAAAUUUUAAGUGGUUCUAUUUUAGGACCAACAGGUAUAUAUGCCUGCUUUUCAUUAACAGACUAAUACACUGAGACAGCAGGGUUUGUAUUAGAAAAAGUUUAAUGAUCACAGGGUGUGGAGCAAGGAGAUGAAAGAAAAGCCUCAAAUCCAUGUCCCAAAGGAGUCCUGGGCUUGGAUUUUUAAGAAUGUCAUAGAGUACAAGGGCCUGGAAAAUUGGGGUAAUUGAUUGGUCAGGGAAAAGGGGAUAAAAUUAUCAGAAUGUGGAAACUGCAUUCUUUGGUGAGUCAGUUUCUUCUGGGAUCCUUCAGACUAGCUGGUGUCAAUGGGGUCUUUCAGAGCUGUUGGCAUCAGUAGUUUCAUCGGUGUGCAGGAUCUGCUUUAAAGAAUAUCUCAGAGGGAAAACUUAAUGUUUCAUAAUAUUCAAAUCGUUGUCUAUAGAGCAGUUAAGGGGUAUGAUAAUCUUGUAACAGGGACUAUGUGAUUCUGAGGCAAUAGACAAACAACUAUGAGGAAGAGGUCACAGGGUUACAUAAUGAUUAACUGAGAGUGCUACCAGCUUGGUUUAUUUUUGUUUCUCUCCCUGCCUCCUCUCUGAUUAAUUGUAUAAAGUUUAUAGGGAUACUAUCAGUUCCACUCAAUUCCAGCCUUUUUUUUGACUUUAACCUAAGGAUUCUGAGAAUGGGAAUAAUAAAACCAUUUAUAUCUCACUGCCUGUACACAUACAAUUCAUCCCACAGAAAACCAUGUGCUUGCAGUGUGUCCUUCCAAUGCUUGAGCUGUAGCCUAUACUUCACAUAUUGCACCAUUUAUUAGCCCACUUGUUUGAACUGUCACAACCACUUGGAUCACUACACUAAUGAAUUAGUUUGAUUAAAAGAAUAUUACCAGAAUCCCAAAAGUAGUUUUUUACCCACACCCAACACUAAUCUAAAUAUUUUAAAUAAAUGUCAUUAUUUCAGUGUGUUUUUCAACUCCCUUUCUGUAUACUUACUCAAUGUCUUUCUAUCAUUUUGAAGCAAAGACCCGCAUGCCUCUGCAAUAAUACUUAAUUCCUUCUCUGGCUUUACUUUGAACUAGAUAUAUUUUAUAAAAUUUCCUGCUUUUGGAAUCCUUAUGAUUAGUUUGAUAAUGUUCCUUUGUUAUUGACAUUUUUUAACUGAACAAAACCUACAGAAGGAAGAAAAUAAAUAGGAAUGCUCAAAUGCAUAUUUGUUCAUAAAUGGCACCAGUUUUUAAAUGUUUAACAUUUAUUUCUUUGUUUUUGUUUGUGCAAAUGUAUGGGAUCAAGAGAAAUUUUGUUACAUGUAUCCAAUUUGUAGUGACCAAGCCAGGAUAUUCAGUGUCCAUCACCUGGGUACAAUACAAUUUCGUGAAGUGUAGUUAUCCUACUCUACUAUCAAACAUUGAAUUUAUUCCUUCUAUCUUAUUUAUGUAUAUUCCAUUUAAAAUGUAUUUUGCUUUUCUCUUUUAAGUUGUGUUAAAGUAGUGCAUUUUUCUUUUUAUUUUUCACUUUCUAUUUGUUCAUAUUCGCAUUUUUGUUCGUAUAUUUUUUCUCUUAUUCAGUCUGAUAUGAAAAACUGACAAAUGAGUAUAGUAAAUUAUUUUUUGUUCCGUUAUUAGAGUGGUAUAAUACUGCUGGUUUUGUAAUCCAAACAAGAGCACACUCAAGGGUUUCUUAUUCUAAAUAUUUACAUUAAAUGGUUUCUAGAUUGCUCAUAUAUUACAUAUGGUUGGUACUGACGAUAUAUAGCAAUGAAUAUCUUGAAG